rnacentral:rRNA from 1 species
AGCAGUCGCCACGGGAAUACGUAGGUGGCAAGCGUUGUCCGGAUUUAUUGGGCGUAAAGCGAGCGCAGGCGGUUUCUUAAGUCUGAUGUGAAAGCCCCCGGCUCAACCGGGGAGGGUCAUUGGAAACUGGGAGACUUGAGUGCAGAAGAGGAGAGUGGAAUUCCAUGUGUAGCGGUGAAAUGCGUAGAUAUAUGGAGGAACACCAGUGGCGAAGGCGGCUCUCUGGUCUGUAACUGACGCUGAGGCUCGAAAGCGUGGGGAGCGAACAGGAUUAGAUACCCCUGUAGUCCCUGUCUCUUAUAA